rnacentral:rRNA from 1 species
GACGAACGCUGGCGGCGUGCCUAAUACAUGCAAGUCGAACGCACAGUUUAUACCGUAGCUUGCUACACCAUAAACUGUGAGUUGCGAACGGGUGAGUAACGCGUAGGUAACCUGCCUGGUAGCGGGGGAUAACUAUUGGAAACGAUAGCUAAUACCGCAUAAUAUUAAUUAUUGCAUGAUAAUUGAUUGAAAGAUGCAAUUGCAUCACUACCAGAUGGACCUGCGUUGUAUUAGCUAGUAGGUGAGGUAACGGCUCACCUAGGCGGCGAUACAUAGCCGACCUGAGAGGGUGAUCGGCCACACUGGGACUGAGACACGGCCCAGACUCCUACGGGAGGCAGCAGUAGGGAAUCUUCGGCAAUGGACGAAAGUCUGACCGAGCAACGCCGCGUGAGUGAAGAAGGUUUUCGGAUCGUAAAGCUCUGUUGUAAGAGAAGAACGGGUGUGAGAGUGGAAAGUUCACACUGUGACGGUAUCUUACCAGAAAGGGACGGCUAACUACGUG